UUCUGAUUUGCCUCAUCAACAUUUGUAGUAGCAUCAUCCAUGACUAGGCUUGUAGAUGAAUUAGUUGAAAAUGGAAUAAACUCGAUCUGUCCUUGUCUGAUUAAAUCUACUACAUUCGACCCUGCUCUUGUCAAAGAUCUAAUACUGAAGCUGCUGAUUUCCAAGAUUUGAAACCUAAGUUGUUGUAUUUGACCACCUUGCUCUUGUCCAGGGAAGAUAAAAUGGUGAAUCGAUUGUGGGUGUGGUGGCUG
rnacentral:misc_RNA from 1 species